rnacentral:rRNA from 1 species
UACAGAGGGUGCGAGCGUUAAUCGGAAUUACUGGGCGUAAAGCGUGCGUAGGCGGUUUGGUAAGUCGGAUGUGAAAGCCCCGGGCUCAACCUGGGAAUGGCAUUCGAGACUGUCAAGCUUGAGUGCGGAAGAGGGAAGUGGAAUUUCCGGUGUAGCGGUGAAAUGCGUAGAUAUCGGAAGGAACACCAGUGGCGAAAGCGACUUCCUGGUCCAGCACUGACGCUCAGGCACGAAAGCGUGGGGAGCAAACAGG